rnacentral:rRNA from 1 species
UACUAGAGUAGCACUCGCAUAUCAAUAAGCGGGAGGAAAAGAAACUAACAAGGAUUCCCCUAGUAACGGCGAGUGAAGCGGGAAGAGCUCAAAUUUGAAAUCUUAAAGGGUUUCCCUUUACGAAUUGUAGUUUAAAGAAGUGUUUUCUGUUGAGGUUUUGGUAAAAGUUCUUUGGAAUAGGACAUCAUAGAGGGUGAGAAUCCCGUAUUUGACCUUUACUUUCAACUUUGUGAUACACUUUCAAAGAGUCGGAUUGUUUGGGAAUGCAGUCCAAAAUGGGUGGUAAAUUUCAUCUAAAGCUAAAGUAUUGGCGAGAGACCGAUAGCGAACAAGUACCGUGAGGGAAAGAUGAAAAGAACUUUGAAAGGAGAGUUAAACAGUACGUGAAAUUGUCAAAAGGGAAGCGUUUGACACCAGUGUUGUUUUUCUGAAAAUCAAUUAAAGAACUGUUUAUGCUAAGCUGUUUAGACUUUAUCAGCUAUCUGUUUAGUUUUGAGCUUUUCUUUAAUGCACUUUUCAGUUAACAAGUCAACAUCAAUUUCUUUUGCUGUAAAAAAGCUUGAGGAAGGUGGCUUGAGAUUCGUCUUAAGUGUUUAUAGCCUCUUGCCUAUGCAGUCGGAGAGAUUGAGGUCUGCAGCGUAGAUCCUUCGGGGCUAAAUGCAUUUGUGCUAAGUUAUAGCAUUUUAUAGACAACUUGUUGACUAUGAUUUGUCUUGUAGCUUACUCGCUUAUGUUAUUUUACCUACGCUUAGGAUGUUGAACUACUGAGACAUAGA